GACGAACGCUGGCGGCGUGCUUAACACAUGCAAGUCGAACGAAGUGGCGAACGGGUGAGUAAUGUGUAAUCAACCUGCCCUUCAGAGGGGGACAACAGUGGGAAACGACUGCUAAUACCGCAUACUGGAGGAGGGGAUUGCGGCUGGUUAGGUAGUUGGGGGGGUAACGGCCCACCCAGGCGAUGAGAAGUAGCCUGGCUGGGGUGAGGAACGGCCAAAAUGGGACUGAGACACCGCCCAAACUCCGACGGGGGGCAGCAGUGGGGAAUCUUCCGGAAUUGACGAAAGUCUGACUGAGCAACGCCGCGUGAGUGAUGACGGCCUUCGGGUUGUAAAGCUCUGUUAAUCGGGGCGCGGUACCGGAAUAGAAAGCCACGGCUAACUACGUGCCAGCCGCCGCGGUAAUUC
rnacentral:rRNA from 1 species